GAUGAACGCUGGCGGCGUGCCUAAUACAUGCAAGUCGAGCGAACAGACGAGGAGCUUGCUCCUCUGACGUUAGCGGCGGACGGGUGAGUAACACGUGGAUAACCUACCUAUAAGACUGGGAUAACUUCGGGAAACCGGAGCUAAUACCGGAUAAUAUAUUGAACCGCAUGGUUCAAUAGUGAAAGACGGUUUUGCUGUCACUUAUAGAUGGAUCCGCGCCGCAUUAGCUAGUUGGUAAGGUAACGGCUUACCAAGGCGACGAUGCGUAGCCGACCUGAGAGGGUGACGGGCCAAACUGGAACUGAGACACGGUCCAGACACCUACGGGAGGCAGCAGUAGGGAAUCUUCCGCAAAGGGCGAAAGCCUGACGGAGCAACGCCGCGUGAGUGAUGAAGGUCUUCGGAUCGUAAAACUCUGUUAUUAGGGAAGAACAAAUGUGUAAGUAACUAUGCACGUCUUGACGGUACCUAAUCAGAAAGCCACGGCUAACUACGUG
rnacentral:rRNA from 1 species